rnacentral:rRNA from 1 species
UACGUAGGGUGCAAGCGUUGUCCGGAAUCAUUGGGCGUAAAGCGCGCGUAGGUGGCUUCGUAAGUCCGUUGUGAAAGUCAAAGGCUCAACCUUUGAAUGCCGAUGGAUAGUGCGAAGCUAGAGUACGGAAGAGGCGAGUGGAAUUCCUGGUGUAGCGGUGGAAUGCGCAGAUAUCAGGAGGAACACCAAUAGCGAAGGCAGCUCGCUGGGACGUUACUGACACUAAGGCGCGAAAGCGUGGGGAGCGAACAGG